UACGUAGGCAGCAAGCGUUGUUCGGAGUUACUGGGCGUAAAGGGUGUGUAGGCGGUCUUCUAAGUUUGGUGUGAAAUCUCCCGGCUCAACUGGGAGGGUGCGCCGAAAACUGGGAGGCUAGAGUACUGGAUGGGAGAGUGGAAUUCCUGGUGUAGCGGUGAAAUGCGUAGAUAUCAGGAGGAACACCAGUGGCGAAGGCGAGUCUCUGGGAUGAUGCUGACGCUGAUGCGCGAAAGCCAGGGGAGCAAACGGG
rnacentral:rRNA from 1 species